AUUGUUCCGUAGUGAACCUGCGGAAGGAUCAUUGAAUCUAUCAAUAACCACACCGUGCACUCUUUUUGUCUGGCCCAUCAUUCUCUCUGGAGUUUGGUGCUUCCCGGGUAGCAUUAACUUGCUGCUUGGGUUUGGGCUCGGCUGCCCAUUCAUUUGGGUGGUCGGGGUGGUCUUUUCUAACCAACAACACCAAAUCAAAACUAAAGGCAAAGAUAUGUGCUCGGGCUAGCCGUCACAUACCAACUGAGACACUCUCAACACGUAUACUUGCUCUCGCAACGUGAGACGCAGCGAAUGCGUACGUAGUGUGAUUGCAGAUUCGUGAUCAUCAAUCUUUGACGUAAUUGCGCAAGCAUCGCUGAGAUGUUGCUCACGCGUAUCUCACUCCCUCCUCCAUAGUGAAGCGGUAAGUGGACCUGGCUGUCAGAGCUUAGUGCUCAUGCGCUUAGCAAAAGCUCUGGAUCAGCUGAAGAGUAGAGGCUAGCUCAAGGCCCGUCAAGGCCGCAACUGGUAGGCAGCUCACGCUUGCUAUUCUAGUUGUUGGCUUGGGACCAUGAGCUCGGCCCUCAAGACAGGAACCUCUUUUUUUCUCGACCUGAGCCAAAAGAAAGACCACCCGCUGAACUUAAGCAUAUA
rnacentral:rRNA from 1 species